AUGGCCGAUGCCGUCCGGGAGCGGCUCCGCGUGGACAGGCGGGCCCCUCCCAGUGGAAAGGAGCCAUUCCCACGGCGGUUAAGGGACAGGCAGGUUGAGGAGAAGGUGCCCCAGCCUGCAUGCCCAUGGUCCCAGGAGAUGAAAUUACCCCUGGAGAAGUGUCUUGGGGACGUCCGCCCAGCACAAAGCUCGUUCACCAUCCUUAAAGACCACAUCAGGACUAUAGGCUUAAAAGCAAAGUUUAUUCCUAAAGUUGCCUGCAAAAUAGCUGUACCUAUUUGCCUUUUCACCUGAAGCAGCUUUAGGAUGCAAAUGCACACCAGGACCCCCUCAGUUUUUUGGAGCAGAAGAGCCACGUUUUCCCCUUGGCUGUUACACAUUCGCAAGAAGCAGAAUAACCAUGACUAUCUGAGUAUGCAACCCCCCCACCAAACCCCAACAGGGACCAAGGAAAAUGCAUCCGAAAAAAGCUUCCCUUUUCCUUUCCUUCUCAGGGAAUCGAUGACUCAGUGUCACUAACAGGACAUCACACAGUUAAACGUGCAACACGCCAUGCUGCUUUAUGGCGACGUCGUUUCUGCGUCUUUAGAAAAAGCACCCCACGCGCUCAUUUUCACUGCUUAAGGUUAGAAAGAUGGCGUUACCGUUGGCGGGAAGGUAGGUGAAACGCUGGUACUGGCUUCGCUUUCUCUUCCCGUUGCAGACGUAGAAACUGACGUGAACAGGGCUGGUUAUCCUCUGAUUCCGAAAU